UUCAGAGACAACAAAAGCCCUAUUCUAACCAUUCUGACUUCUAGGCUCUACUAUCCUUUUACAACUUUUCUUCUGCCAGAGAGACCUCCGAGUUAUCUUUCUUCCUUCAAUGUGAUAGCUAUGACCCAAAUCUAGUUGUUAUAUGAGGUAAUGUCUCAGUAAUCCCUUUAGUAAUCACAUCCCUUUAUUUUUCCAGCAAGACUGAUUUUCAGGGUCUUGAAUGCAGGUACCAUUUACAGAGUCUUAGGGGUAUGUGACUUGAAUAAAGCUUAAGGAGGACUUAACCAGUUUAGAGCUUAGAAGUACCCAGUGACUGUGGUCUUCAAAGCAGUCGAUCAUGCUGAUGGUUUCUUUCUGAUACUUUGGUGAUAAUGUGAUGAUAGCACUACUAUUACUCUUAUUUAUUGAAAAAUUACUGUUUUAAGAUCCAUAAGGACAAUGAGGUUUAGAAAGAUUAAGUGUCAAAAAAAAAAAAAAAAAGAUUAAGUGUCAUGUUCAAGGUCCCACAGCCAGUUAAGAGGCAGAAGCAAUAACAUUUGAAUCUACAACCAUUUUACCGAAGAGCAAAUGUUCCUAACAAUGAAGCUAAAAUCCCAUGUUUGUGACCUGAUGUGUUUUUCCUGUUGCCUGUGUCCUUUCCCUUAGCUAACAUUUAUAGAGGACGUUUUAAUGCCAGGUAGGAUCUUAAAGACAUAUUACAACAUAUUAACUCAUUAAAUGCAUACGACAAUUUAUGAUUUAGCUAUGGUUUUACAUAUGAGACAGAAAGAGGUUAAUUAACUUGUCUGAUGCCCACUUAGUCACCAUGAAAGAGGCCCAUGUGUGAUACAACAUCUGUUGUUUAUAUGCCUCUAUGAUGGUGAAUUGAUAGUCAUGAUUCCAGAGAGUUAAUUUCCCAUUAUUUCCAUCGAACAAAAAUAAGCUACAUCUUCCCCUUUGAUGCUGUAUCAUAUAUAAAAUCCAAAGAGCCAACACUGAUUACAUUGAGCAUACAUAAAAGGCAAUGCACUUCUUAUAGGGAGUCACUUCUUAAUUUUGAUUGUUUAAUUGAAGAAGAAAAAGUGAUGUUUUGAUCAAAACCAUGAUGAAAACUAUUAUUGCUAAGGCUUUAAAGGUUAGAUUAUAUUUUAUUUCAAGCUGUUUGUGAAAUUCAGCUGUCUUAAGAUUUUAUAAUCCUCAAAUUGGCCUUAAUUAAUUUAUCAAAUCCUUUUAGCAGAAUUUAUUUCAUUGUUUUUGUGCAGCCACCAGAAACAGAGCCUCAUUAGUUUUCUGUACUCUUUAAAUUAAGUUUACCCAUAUGACCUAAUACUCCAUAUGAAUAAAUAACUUACAGUACCCCUGACCAAAAGGGAAAAGUACAGUCCUUUUUUUUUCAAGUUUAUAGUGUGAUCUGUUCCUCUGAAAUAUAUUUGUACCCAUUUUUUCCCCACUGGCAAAUAUAAAUAACUGAUGCCAUAAAUGUAUAUGAAUAACAUAAGAUAAAAACCACAAAUAUGCCAAAACUAAGAUUUGAUUGUCCUUCAUUAAAACAUAUGUAGCCUUUGGGAUGGAUUAGCAAUGGGAUCCUACUGUGUAGCACUGGGAACUCUGUCUAGUCACUUAUGAUGGAACACUUAGUGUGAGAAAAAGAAUGUAUACAUGUAUGUAUAACUGGGUCAUCAUGCUGUACAGCAGAAAAAAUAUAUAUAAAUAAAUGAUAAAAAAAAUACCCAAUAAACACUGAGAAAAGCUGACACCUUUGCUUUAAGAUGGAGUCCACUUAGGACUCCUUAAUACAUUUCUGUCACCAGCUUCCAGGCACCAUUUUCUCUCACUCCUCCUCCUGGCCCCCUCAUUGCUUCUUUUCAGUGUUUUUUUUGGUCUUCUCACCUUUGCAACAUGUGCAGGCACCACAGGAGUAAACACACAUGUUUUUCUCCAGCUACCUCUGCUUCCCAGACUCAUUUUCCGAGGACUUCCGCCAAACAUGGAUCUCAUCCAUCCGACGGCUUAGCAUAUCCUUCUGGAUAUUUAACAGUUUCCCCAGUUGCACAUGUCUGAAAUCUAACUCUUGAUUUGCACACUCCACAUCACUCCCACACCUGCACACCCUCCCAGAUUUUUGAAAGGCAUAUCCACAGUCCAGAUUCUUGGGCCAAAAUUCUCAGUUAUUCUUGACUCCCUUCAUCCUCACAGCCAAACCAUCAGUAAAUUCUGACAGCUCUUCCUUUGACCUAUGACUUGAACAAUCUGACCAUCAUGGACAAUUUCCACUACCGAGACCCUUUCUCAACCCACCAUAAAUCCUCCCUUGGACUUUUGCAAUUGUUUUUUGUUAUUCUUGCACCUGACCUGACCCCUUUAUGAUGUACACGUCACAUAUAACCAGAAGGAUCCUUUUAGGAUGUAACUCAGAUCAUGGCCACUACCCUGCAGAAAAGACCCCAAGGGUUUCCAUUGUAAGCCAGAGUGAACCCUGUCUGACCUCACUUCCCAUCACUUGCUUUUUUGCUCUUUUUACUCCAGCUUUGUGGGUCUCCUGGCAGUGCCUUGGACCUCCUGAGCUUAGGAGACCUCAGAGCCUUUUUAUGUGCUAUUUCUCUGCCUGACCUCUCUGUCCAGAUCAGUUCUUUCCCUACUUUGUCUUCUCUACAGCCCUUAUUAGCUCCUGGAAAAUCAAAUAUUCAUUUGUUUAUCUGUCUCCUUGAAUAAAAUGUAAGCUUCCAAGUGAAGAAGCUGUGUUUUGCUCCUUGUUGUACCCUUAAGGCUUGGAGCAAUACUUGGCAUACAGUAGGUAUUCAAAAUAACUUCUGAAGGAAUGUACGUAAUUCAUAAAAAUUAAAUUAUCCACACUUCAGAGAAGAAAAUUAAGAUAGUAUUGGCUUAUUUUUCUUCAGUUUAUUCCAAAUUCUCACCCCAAAUAAUUAUAAAUGCUUUAUAAAUUUCUUUUAUUCAUAGGAUCUGGUGGCUAAACCCAGGUGCACAGAAUCAUUGUAAGUUUUCAAAGGUUAAGGAAUUGGUGAAGGAUGAAGAAAAGACCUCAAAUAAAAAUUUUCUUCAGUCAACCCAGUAAAAAUUCUUAGAGAUUUGAUAUUUCUGUUUAGUAAUGAUACCAUCUUUACAAAAAGAAUAUAGCCCGUUAUGUUGAUAGGCAAAUUGAAGAUAGACAUUGCAUUUAUGAGGGUAUAAAAAUAAAUGUAAUGCUUAUUACCUUGAAAUGUAAGUGUCAGCUACUAGUGUCUCAAUUUUACAAGAUACGCAGAAGAGACACAGAUGUUCUAUUACCUAUUCCAGUUAAUUUCCUCUCUCUUUCUUUCAACAUCAUUAGCUUCUCAGAAUUAUAGAUUGUAUCUUGGGGAAAAUAAGACAAGUGUAGUAAUUUCAAUUGAAAGCUCCGCAGUUAGUUUCUCAAGGUGAUCAAAAUAUUGACGAUUCGGGAGAGUGGUAUUCCUGGAUGAGGCAGGAGAGCUCCUGCCCUUUUCUCAUACCUUGCCCUAUGCAGCUGACACUGCCAGAAAAUAAGCGGUUCUGCUAUAGUUUCUAGAAAUGAAGCAGUCUCAUAUUUCACAAAUUAAAUGUCAUACUCUAAAAUUGCUUAAGAAUAUUUUUCUUCUAUACAGUUUCUAUACAAAUGGUAUUUUUGCAGAAAGUUAUCAAAUAAUAAUGGAACUGACUUAGUUCACUGAAAUUACUAAUAUUAUAGGGAUGGUAACUAUAUCAUUUGGUUUUUAUGAAGACAGUGUUUGUGAUGAAUCAGUUACUUUCAACUUUAUAUCAGUGCCUAAGUUGUAACAUUAGGGUGAUCCACAGUUUUGUCUAUGAACACAUGGUUUCUUAACUUUCUUAAACAAUGGACUGAAAUAAGGAAACACAUAAUACUAACACACACUAUGUUUGCUCUCCGAUGGCCUAAGAUCAGAGUUGAGUGUAACUGGCAUUUUUAGAGAAUGAGUAUCAAAUUAAUUCUUGAAGACUUUGCCAGUUUUAGGAUUUAGAAAUUAAUAAUUGCCAGGCAUUGCCCCAAAGAGCCAUCUCUAAUACUUGGGAGUCUACCAUGCCAUGCUAGUGCCUGAAAGGCCACACAACAAAAUGUUCAUAAAGCAGCAUGAAAGUGCGUCAGCUCUUGAAACCCUGAAUCAGCUCUUGAAGUUCAGAUGCGUUUGUUUAAUGGCUUUGAAAAUGUUAAGAGAAAUCAAGGAAACCAUUUAUCUGGCUAAAUUUCCCAUUUAUGAUAAACUGUAUCAGCUUGUCUUAGUUAACAGGGGCCACCACUGCGGCCAUAAUACUGUUGGAUGAGUUG
rnacentral:lncRNA from 1 species